rnacentral:rRNA from 1 species
CCCUUAGAUGUUCUGGGCCGCACGCGCGCUACACUGAUUCAUGCAACAAGUUUUGUCCUUGGCUGAUAGGCCUGGGUAAUCUUUGAACGUGAGUCGUGAUGGGGAUAGAUGAUUGCAAUUAUUCAUCUUCAACGAGGAAUUCCUAGUAAACGCAAGUCAUCAGCUUGCAUUGAUUACGUCCCUGCCCUUUGUACACACCGCCCGUCGCACCUACCGAUUGAAUGGUCCGGUGAAAUCUUCGGAUCUGAGAGAUGUCUGAUUAAUUUCGGACGCCUUUUGGAAAAGUUGCUUAAACCUUACCAUUUAGAGGAAGGUGAAGUCGUAACA